GUCGAGCGGAACAGAACGAGGCAGCUUGCUCCUCUGACGUUAGCGGCGGACGGGUGAGAUAACACGUGGCAUAACCUACCUAUAAGACUGGGAUAACUUCGGGAAACCGGAGCUAAUACCGGAUAAUAUAUUGAACCGCAUGGUUCAAUANUGAAAGACGGUUUUGCUGUCACUUAUAGAUGGAUCCGCGCCGCAUUAGCUAGUUGGUAAGGUAACGGCUUACCAAGGCAACNAUGCNUAGCCGACCUGAGAGGGUGAUCGGCCACACUGGAACUGAGACACGGUCCAGACUCCUACGGGAGGCAGCAGUAGGGAAUCUUCCGCAAUGGGCGAAAGCCUGACGGAGCAACGCCGCGUGAGUGAUGAAGGUCUUCGGAUCGUAAAACUCUGUUAUUAGGGAAGAACAAAUGUGUAAGUAACUAUGCACGUCUUGACGGUACCUAAUCAGAAAGCCACGGCUAACUACGUGCCAGCAGCCGCGGUAAUACGUAGGUGGCAAGCGUUAUCCGGAAUUAUUGGGCGUAAAGCGCGCGUAGGCGGUUUUUUAAGUCUGAUGUGAAAGCCCACGGCUCAACCGUGGAGGGUCAUUGGAAACUGNAA
rnacentral:rRNA from 1 species